rnacentral:sRNA from 1 species
GUUUGAGUAUGUUAUGCAUUUAUAUUCAAUGAAUUCUUAAUAGGUGUUAAGAAUUGACAAGUCAUCAUGGUGGAUAUUGACUUUGGAAGUCUUUGUGCUUUAUACCUGGAAGAGGGAAGUUCUUACCUGAAGAACAACUGUCUGAGAAUAGAGUUAUGUGAGGAGGUUCUGAGAAAACAAAAGAAACUAAGAUGAGACUCUUUGAACACCAGUUUCUUCACAAACCUGGAAUUAUUCUUGCAUUAUGCUAUUAUGACCAUCCAAUAUAUAGCAUAUAGG